UAAAAAUACUACCAGCAUUUGCUGCGAGCGGCUCUCUCUCUCCUGGUCCAACAUCAUCUCAUGAUUAAUCUCAGAAUAAGAGAGAACUGCAGCUGGCUGUUCCCUUGAGGACUCGGGGUCUGAGGAAAGACCGACUGGAAUUUUCAAGGAGUAUGUUUGAAGUGUCUCCAGACUGACGCUUGACGCAGCAGGUAAUGCUGUGACAAAGUAAGGUGGGGUGACCGAGGGGUGACAGGGUGUCAGAGAAUCUAGCCAGCGUCCGCCGUAGUGCUUCAUAGACCAGGACACCAAACGGGAUGGUCACCAACAAGACCUGGGCUCAACAACUCUGAUGCCCAGAGGACCUUCUGCACUGUGACAGAGAGUUUGGAAUUUCCAAUUAUAGCGGCAGGCCCCCAGUGCCCUGGGGAGUGAUUCGGAGGCAGACCGAGGACAGGCUGGGUGGGUCGUGGGGAGGAGCCCGGGAGGUCAUGUGACGACGAGGAUGCCGAAGUGGAUGCGUAGCUGCUCAAGGAAGACGAAGGCCUUCACUGGUCGGAAUCAGAAAAGGAGCACGUACUGCGAUCAGACUGGCCAGGAAGUGGGUGGCGAUGUUGUCGGACAUGACCCCGGCGCCGAGGACCAGCUGCUUCGCCUGGUCAUAACAGGACAGCUACGCACAGGCAGAUGUGACACCAACCUGCCUGCAGAGGGAAGCACUGAGGCCGCUGUAGAGCGCCAGGACCCCUUGGUGGCGCACCACGGAAACAGCCAUCCCCGUCAUCCUCAGCUUGACCUCCUGCUGCGUCUGCAGGUCUAGCGGGUGUGUGCAGCAGGCGGCUCCGCAGGACGCGAUGCCCCCGAAGUACCAGCGGGACACCCUCUUCUCCGGCAUGCCUCUCAGACACGGCUCGUCAUGGGCAGGGACGCAAUCC